AGGGCAAAGAAGCGGCUCUAAUCCGGCGGCCAUGCUCGCCUCUCUCAUGGGCAAGAGAGAGAAGCUUCGUGAAGAGCUCCGUAACAUUGAGAAACAGGUGUAUGAGUUAGAGACAAGCUAUUUGCAAGAUUCAGGCCAUUUUGGGAAUGUUCUCAAAGGUUUUGAAGGGUUUCUAUCUUCAUCGAAGAGCACUACAAAGUAAUUCCUUUUGGGAUUUUUGGUGUUUCCUAAUAUUAUCAUUUCUUGGUUUGUGCAUUCAUUGUUUCUUUGCGUGAAUGUUUUCACUGAUGCAAAUUACUUUUGGUUUGACAUCAUGGGAGAAUUGGUUGGAAUGCAUAACAGAGGAAGUCAUUUUAUUUAAUAACUUCAAUUUAUUAAGUUCCUUAUUGAGAAAUCAAGAUUUUGGUAGGAAGAAAUUGGACAUGUAAAAGUAGAGGCGAAAUUCAGGGUGAAAUCAGUCAAAACUUGCUUAAAUCGUUUCACAUACACUUAUUCUAUGCUUGGGUAUUCCUCUUUAUUCACUUUUUACUUGUUAUACAUAUGAGAUAUAUUUGUGCGCGUGUGUAAUCCUUAAGCUUGUAAUUUACAAUGAAGUUCUGUGUCUGCUUCCUUGAUCUUUAUUAUUAAUUCUGCCGAUACAUAAAUGUUAUUGCUUAUUGCAUUAUAGCGAGAAUGCCGAGGCCGAAACUAUGAAACUCUGGUUAUAUAGUUUAUUAGACUAAUAGUCUAUAUUCCUUGGGGAUGCAAGUAUUUUCUGGUGGUCAGAUUUCAUUAUUUCAUAAAUUCAUAGAUUUUCCCACAAAUCUUGAGGGUCAAAGUUUUAGAUACCCAUAACCAAGUACCUUUACCCGACAAUGGUAUUUCAGGGGAAAUGAAGACUUGACGUAACUAUAGCAUAAAUGCUGACUGGGGAUUGGUUGAGAAAGGGAUUCUUUUUGAGCUAUAGAAGAUAUUGACAGAUGAUUAAUACGCUCAAGCAACUGAAACAAGUAAAAUUUUGGUGAUACAGGAAUGGUAAGUAUUUAAGUAAAAAAGAAAAAUGGAUGAUAGCGGCACAAAUAAGAGAAUUUCAAAUAAUGUAGGAUUUUGUAUAUAUUGUUACAGGUGACAGUUAGCUUGAAAUUAUAAAAAUUUGAUUCACUUUGAAAAGUUUUGCUGAAUAAAAAUAAUGGUGGCAUCUUCUGAAUUAUGUGAUUUAAUGCAUGUUUGGUUUAUCAUUCUCUCUCCAUGUAAUGGAUAUAUCUAUUUACAAAUUUCAUUUGGUUUGCUAAGAUGGAAACUAGCACAUAUAAAACAACAUUAACGUUCUCAUAUUUGCUACAGGGCUUCUGUAUUUCCAUAAUUGAAUAUCUAGUUUCAUCACUUUCCAUCGACAUGACCAAAAAUUCACAUGUAAUUCAUCUUGCAGUGUAAAAAGGUCCAGGAAAUUUCAGCCAGAAGAUAGACUUUUCUCAUUGUCAUCGGUUACCUCGCCAGCAGUAUGUGUUAAAUUUUCUGCCUCAUCAGAACAGUUUCUUCUCAUUUCCCAUUGUGUUCCACUUCUUUUUUAUUUUUUUUUAUUUGUUCAUAUUUUUCUUUGUGUUUCAGCAUCCCAGUAUCAUAAUUUGACAAUUUGAACCAUAUGUAUCAGUUGUUAGAUACUGUUGAUCAGUGUAGAGGCCUUCGAUUUGUUUAUGUGACCUUGCAACAUAUGGUGGUCUUACAAAUGAACUCAAGAUUGUUUGAUGCUGGCAUGCUGCCGGGGAGAAAAUGAUUUAAAGGCUUUUUUAGUCUAAUCCCUUAUCUUGAAAACUCUAGGUUUUUCUUGUGUGAGGUCCACAUUUGAUGUUUAAUGAAGGCAAGUUUUGCAUUGAGUAAUUACUCACGUCUAGAGUUUUCUAGAGUUCAAUCUUAACAGAUUAAGUUUGGAGGAAAUGCUCUGAGCUCAUAUUUCAUGUUUUUGUUUUGUGGAUGAAUGUCUCAUGCUAAGUGGCUAACAUUCAAAGUGUUCAUUAUAUGAAAAUUUUUAUUCACUAGUAUAGAGUGUGGUUUAUUUAAGCUCAGGAGACUUACAACAAAUACUUGGGGCGAGUCUUUCAGAAAUUGACAAUUAAAUAGGCAGUAUUUUUGGGUAUCAAUUUAUUAGCUAUAAAUUAGUCGUGCAUUCCAUGAAAUUUGGUUGAUUCUCACAAGUACAUGUGGUUGAGAAUUGAGAUGGUUGAUUUAAUAACAUAUUUUUAUUUACUUUGUUUUCUUAACCUUCAGGCUGAAGAACUUGGACUCGGACGUGAUGGUAAGCCUGGUUGAUCAUAUGGCAAAAAACCUUGCAAAUACAAGGAAUAAGAUCCCAUUUUUUUUAUGUUUUCUUCAUUGUUGCAGAUGGAAGAUCUGAUUUUGGUCCCGGUCGGUCUAAGGGUGGAACCUUAGCUGCUAAUGGGCAGUAAGUACCAAGUCACUUUCUAUCCACCAUAUUUAGGUGUGGAAAAUUUUGAGGUAUUAAUGAUCACGCAAAAACUUGUUUAGGGGGAAACCAAAAAAGGGAAGAACAUCAAUGGGACCAAGAGACGUAAAGAAAAUCAGGCCAUCAAAUGAAGCAGAAUUUGAUGAUGAAGAUGAUCCUGAUAUGAGCUUGAGAUAAUUACUUCACAUAAACCUCACUAAAUGUAAAUCUUAAGUGUAAUUCUAGGGUGGUAGAUGUAGAGGGAAAUUGUAUUGUUGUGAAGUCUAGAUUAUUUAACUUUUCAAUGUGUUGUAACCAUUUCUUAGAUAACCCAUUUCAGCUAUACUUGGGCUUCUUGUAUUUCUUCUUUAAAUGGGUCCUUUUAUCUUCUUGGGUUGGUUUAAGCCCAGAGC
rnacentral:misc_RNA from 1 species